AGCGAACGCUGGCGGCAGGCCUAACACAUGCAAGUCGAACGAACCCUUCGGGGUUAGUGGCGGACGGGUGAGUAACACGUGGGAACGUGCCUUUAGGUUCGGAAUAACUCAGGGAAACUUGUGCUAAUACCGAAUGUGCCCUUCGGGGUAAAGAUUUAUCGCCUUUAGAGCGGCCCGCGUCUGAUUAGCUAGUUGGUGAGGUAAUGGCUCACCAAGGCUACGAUCAGUAGCUGGUCUGAGAGGAUGACCAGCCACAUUGGGACUGAGACACGGCCCAAACUCCUACGGGAGGCAGCAGUGGGGAAGCUUGCGCAAUGGGCGAAAGCCUGACGCAGCCAUGCCGCGUGGAUGAUGAAGGUCUUAGGAUUGUAAAAUCCUUUCACCGGUGAAGAUAAUGACUGUAGCCGGAGAAGAAGCCCCGGCUAACUUCGUGCCAGCAGCCGCAGUAACAC
rnacentral:rRNA from 1 species